GAUACGGCCCAGACUCCUACGGGAGGCAGCAGUGGGGAAUAUUGCACAAUGGGCGCAAGCCUGAUGCAGCGACGCCGCGUGAGGGAUGACGGCCUUCGGGUUGUAAACCUCUUUCAAUAGGGACGAAGCGCAAGUGACGGUACCUAUAGAAGAAGGACCGGCCAACUACGUGCCAGCAGCCGCGGUAAUACGUAGGGUCCGAGCGUUGUCCGGAAUUACUGGGCGUAAAGAGCUCGUAGGUGGUUUGUCGCGUUGUUCGUGAAAACUCACAGCUUAACUGUGGGCGUGCGGGCGAUACGGGCAGACUAGAGUACUGCAGGGGAGACUGGAAUUCCUGGUGUAGCGGUGGAAUGCGCAGAUAUCAGGAGGAACACCGGUGGCGAAGGCGGGUCUCUGG
rnacentral:rRNA from 1 species